UACCAUGUAUCUCAAUCAUCUCCACCCUU
rnacentral:piRNA from 1 species